GUAAGGAAUAUUGCUCAAUGGGAGAAAUCCUGAAGCAGCAACGCCGCGUGGAGGAUGAAGGGUCUAUGACUUGUAAACUCCUGUAAAGAAGGAAAAAAUUCCCAUUUGAUGGGAGAUGAUGGUACUUCUGGAGUAAGCCCCGGCUAACUACGUGCCAGCAGCCGCGGUAAUACGUAGGGGGCAAGCGUUGUCCGGAUUUACUGGGUGUAAAGGGUGCUCAGGCGGAUUUGUAAGUCAGAGGUGAAAUCUUACAGCUUAACUGUGAAACUGCCUUUGAUACUGCAAGCCUAGAGUAUGGAAGAGAGUGAUGGAAUAUCUGGUGUAGCAGUGAAAUGCGUAGAUAUCAGAUAGAACACCAAUGGCGAAGGCAGCCACUUGGUCCAUUACUGACGCUAAAGCACGAAAGCGUGGGUAGCAAACA
rnacentral:rRNA from 1 species